rnacentral:rRNA from 1 species
AUUGAACGCUGGCGGCAGGCCUAACACAUGCAAGUCGAGCGGAUGAGUGGAGCUUGCUCCAUGAUUCAGCGGCGGACGGGUGAGUAAUGCCUAGGAAUCUGCCUGGUAGUGGGGGACAACGUUUCGAAAGGAACGCUAAUACCGCAUACGUCCUACGGGAGAAAGUGGGGGAUCUUCGGACCUCACGCUAUCAGAUGAGCCUAGGUCGGAUUAGCUAGUUGGUGAGGUAAAGGCUCACCAAGGCGACGAUCCGUAACUGGUCUGAGAGGAUGAUCAGUCACACUGGAACUGAGACACGGUCCAGACUCCUACGGGAGGCAGCAGUGGGGAAUAUUGGACAAUGGGCGAAAGCCUGAUCCAGCCAUGCCGCGUGUGUGAAGAAGGUCUUCGGAUUGUAAAGCACUUUAAGUUGGGAGGAAGGGCAGUAAGUUAAUACCUUGCUGUUUUGACGUUACCAACAGAAUAAGCACCGGCUAAC